UUAGUGGCGGACGGGUGAGUAACACGUGAGCAACCUACCUCAGAGUGGGGGACAACAGUUGGAAACGACUGCUAAUACCGCAUAAGAUGGCAGGGUCGCAUGGCCUGGUCAUAAAAGGAGCAAUUCGCUCUGAGAUGGGCUCGCGUCUGAUUAGCUAGUUGGUGAGGUAACGGCCCACCAAGGCAACGAUCAGUAGCCGGACUGAGAGGUUGAACGGCCACAUUGGGACUGAGACACGGCCCAGACUCCUACGGGAGGCAGCAGUGGGGAAUAUUGCACAAUGGGGGAAACCCUGAUGCAGCGACGCCGCGUGAGGGAAGACGGUUUUCGGAUUGUAAACCUCUGUCUUGUGGGACGAUAGUGACGGUACCACAGGAGGAAGCCAUGGCUAACUACGCGCCAGCAGCCGCGGUAAUACGUAGAUGGCGAGCGUUGUCCGGAAUUACUGGGUGUAAAGGGAGUGUAGGCGGGCUGGUAAGUUGAAUGUGAAACCUUCGGGCUCAACCCGGAGCGUGCGUUCAAAACUGCUGGUCUUGAGUGAAGUAGAGGCAGGCGGAAUUCCCGGUGUAGCGGUGGAAUGCGUAGAUAUCGGGAGGACACCAGUGGCGAAG
rnacentral:rRNA from 1 species